rnacentral:rRNA from 1 species
UACGAAGGGAGCUAGCGUUGUUCGGAAUCACUGGGCGUAAAGCGCACGUAGGCGGAUUUGUCAGUCAGGGGUGAAAUCCCGGGGCUCAACCUCGGAACUGCCUUUGAUACAGCAAGUCUUGAGUUCGAGAGAGGUGGGUGGAAUUCCUAGUGUAGAGGUGAAAUUCGUAGAUAUUAGGAAGAACACCGGUGGCGAAGGCGGCCCACUGGCUCGAUACUGACGCUGAGACGCGAAAGCGUGGGGAGCAAACAGG